CCAAUAGCGUAUAUUAAAGUUGUUGCAGUUAAAAAGCUCGUAGUUGAAUUUCGGGGUCAGCUAGUUGGUCGUGCCACUGGUAUGCACUGGCUUUGCUGAUUCCUCCUUCUUGAAGAACUGUAAUGCUAUUAAUUUAGUGUUGCAGGGAAACAGGACUGUUACUUUGAAAAAAUUAGAGUGUUUAAAGCAGGCUAACGCUUGAAUACAUUAGCAUGGAAUAAUGAAAUAGGACGUUUGAUCCUAUUUUGUUGGUUUCUAGGAUUGACGUAAUGAUUAAUAGGGAUAGUUGGGGGCAUUAGUAUUCAAUUGUCAGAGGUGAAAUUCUUGGAUUUAUUGAAGACUGACUACUGCGAAAGCAUUUGCCAAGGAUGUUUUCAUUAAUCAAGAACGAAAGUUAGGGGAUCGAAGACGAUCAGAUACCGUCGUAGUCUUAACCAUAAACUAUGCCGACUAGGGAUCGGAUGAUGUUAAUUUUUUAAUGACUCAUUCGGCGCCUUACG
rnacentral:rRNA from 1 species